rnacentral:rRNA from 1 species
CACACCGCCCGUCUCACCAUGGGAGUUUGUUGCACCAGAAGCAGGUAGCUUAACCGCAAGGGGGGCGCUUGCCACGGUGUGGCCGAUGACUGGGGUG